rnacentral:rRNA from 1 species
CCCUUAGAUGUCCUGGGCCGCACGCGUGCUACACUGAUGCAUACAGCGAGCACUUCCCGGCCCCGAAAGGCGGCUGGUAAUCAGCAAUAUGCAUCGUGAUGGGGAUAGUUCUUUGGAAUUCUUGAACUUGAACGAGGAAUGCCUAGUAGGCGCAAGUCAUUACCUUGCGUCGAUUAAGUCCCUGCCCUUUGUAUACACCGCCCGUCGCUCCUACCGAUUCGAGUGAUCCGGUGAACCUUUUGGACCGAGGUAGCUUGCUGCUUUGGAAAAUCAAGUAAACCACGUCACUUAGAGGAAGGAGAAGUCGUAACA